rnacentral:rRNA from 1 species
AACGAACGCUGGCGGCAUGCCUAACACAUGCAAGUCGAACGAGACCUUCGGGUCUAGUGGCGCACGGGUGCGUAACGCGUGGGAACCUGCCCUUAGGUUCGGAAUAACUCCCCGAAAGGGGUGCUAAUACCGGAUAAUGUCUUCGGACCAAAGAUUUAUCGCCUUUGGAUGGGCCCGCGUUGGAUUAGCUAGUUGGUAGGGUAAAAGCCUACCAAGGCGACGAUCCAUAGCUGGUCUGAGAGGAUGAUCAGCCACACUGGGACGGAGAUAAGGCCCAGACUGAGUCGGGAGGCAGCACUGAGGGAGAGUGGACGAGGGGCGGAAGGCUGAUGCAGAACCGCCGUGGCCGGGAUGAAGGCCGUCGGGUUGUAGAACGCAUUCGCCUGUGACGGAGCGGGAGGGACGGGAAUGGGUAAAGGAGAACCGGCGAGUUAGGGG